AUUGAACAUAAGAGUUUGAUCCUGGCUCAGAUUGAACGCUGGCGGCAUGCUUUACACAUGCAAGUCGGACGGCAGCACAGGGAAGCUUGCUUCUCGGGUGGCGAGUGGCGAACGGGUGAGUAACAUAUCGGAACGUACCGGGUAGCGGGGGAUAACUGAUCGAAAGAUCAGCUAAUACCGCAUACGUCUUGAGAGGGAAAGCAGGGGACCUUCGGGCCUUGCGCUAUCCGAGCGGCCGAUAUCUGAUUAGCUGGUUGGCGGGGUAAAGGCCCACCAAGGCGACGAUCAGUAGCGGGUCUGAGAGGAUGAUCCGCCACACUGGGACUGAGACACGGCCCAGACUCCUACGGGAGGCAGCAGUGGGGAAUUUUGGACAAUGGGCGCAAGCCUGAUCCAGCCAUGCCGCGUGUCUGAAGAAGGCCUUCGGGUUGUAAAGGACUUUUGUCAGGGAAGAAAAGGCCGUUGCCAAUAUCGGCGGCCGAUGACGGUACCUGAAGAAUAAGCACCGGCUAACUACGUGCCAGCAGCCGCGGUAAUACGUAGGGUGCGAGCGUUAAUCGGAAUUACUGGGCGUAAAGCGGGCGCAGACGGUUACUUAAGCAGGAUGUGAAAUCCCCGGGCUCAACCCGGGAACUGCGUUCUGAACUGGGUGACUCGAGUGUGUCAGAGGGAGGUGGAAUUCCACGUGUAGCAGUGAAAUGCGUAGAGAUGUGGAGGAAUACCGAUGGCGAAGGCAGCCUCCUGGGAUAACACUGACGUUCAUGUCCGAAAGCGUGGGUAGCAAACAGGAUUAGAUACCCUGGUAGUCCACGCCCUAAACGAUGUCAAUUAGCUGUUGGGCAACUUGAUUGCUUGGUAGCGUAGCUAACGCGUGAAAUUGACCGCCUGGGGAGUACGGUCGCAAGAUUAAAACUCAAAGGAAUUGACGGGGACCCGCACAAGCGGUGGAUGAUGUGGAUUAAUUCGAUGCAACGCGAAGAACCUUACCUGGUUUUGACAUGUGCGGAAUCCUCCGGAGACGGAGGAGUGCCUUCGGGAGCCGUAACACAGGUGCUGCAUGGCUGUCGUCAGCUCGUGUCGUGAGAUGUUGGGUUAAGUCCCGCAACGAGCGCAACCCUUGUCAUUAGUUGCCAUCAUUCGGUUGGGCACUCUAAUGAGACUGCCGGUGACAAGCCGGAGGAAGGUGGGGAUGACGUCAAGUCCUCAUGGCCCUUAUGACCAGGGCUUCACACGUCAUACAAUGGUCGGUACAGAGGGUAGCCAAGCCGCGAGGCGGAGCCAAUCUCACAAAACCGAUCGUAGUCCGGAUUGCACUCUGCAACUCGAGUGCAUGAAGUCGGAAUCGCUAGUAAUCGCAGGUCAGCAUACUGCGGUGAAUACGUUCCCGGGUCUUGUACACACCGCCCGUCACACCAUGGGAGUGGGGGAUACCAGAAGUAGGUAGGGUAACCGCAAGGAGUCCGCUUACCACGGUAUGCUUCAUGACUGGGGUGAAGUCGUAACAAGGUAGCCGUAGGGGAACCUGCGGCUGGAUCACCUCCUUUCUAG
rnacentral:rRNA from 1 species